GUACUGAAUCACCAAGGCCCUUUUUCUUGGCCUGUUAUGUGUGUGAUUAUAUUUAUCCCAGUUUCUGUGUAAUAGACAUGAAAGCCUCCCCUGCCACACCCCACCUCCAAUCUUCCUUUCCCUUCCACCAGGGAGUGUCCACUCCAUAUACCCUUACAUUUGGACAAUCAAGGUGCACAAUUGUAAGUGACCACAACCAUGCAUCUUGGAAAUUUAUGUGCAUAACUGCACAUGGCUUAUCCUAUUUGAAUAAAGUCCUACUCUCAGACCCCCUUUGCAGUAUAGCUGGGGUGCUGAUCACUGAGGCCUCUUUGCUUGGCUUGUCUAUAUUCUUGUGUACUAGAUAAGGGCACCUUCUCAUGGACUCCCUUUGCUUUUCAACAAGGAGUACCCACUACUUUUUAAGAUUCUUAUAUUUGUCCAAAGUACAUGGUUUUAAUUGACCACAACAAUGUCCCUUGGACAUUAAUGUAUGUAAUCACCACAUGGUUCAUCCUAAUUAAACAAAGUUCUACCUUCUCACCCUCCAUUUGCAGUAUACCAGGGUUGCUGACCCCCUAAGUCCCCUUUUCUUGGCUUGUUGACAUGCAUAAUUGCAUUUAUGUUGGUUCUUGUGCCCUAGACAAGGAUGCCCCACCUCUUUUCAAUAGUGGGUGCCCACUCCUUAUGAUCUUUACAUUUGAACAGUUAAUGUGAAUAAUUGCAGUUGUCCACAACCCUAUCACUUCUAGGACCAUUAUACCUCUUUUGCAUUACUGUGGGGUAUACUGUUUCCCUCCAAGGCCCCUUCUGGUGGACUAUCAACAUAUAAUUGAAAUUUUCUUUUGUCUUUGUCAGUAGAUUAAGGUCAUACCCCAUCACCUUUCCUUUGUAGUACAACAGGGUGUCCUGAUCAACCAAAGUCCUGUUGUUUUGGACUGUUAAUAUGUGCAAUUACAUUUGCUCCUGAUCUGUGCACUAGAUAAGGAUCCUACCUACUUUCUUAGUGUUUUUAGCAGGUAGUGCCCACUACUCAAGACUGUCACUUGGAAUGUUCAUGUGCACAAACUCAAUUCUCUAAGCAUGUUCCUGUACCACCUUUGCUUUAGAGCAGGGGGAUGAUAUUCACUAAGUGCCCCUUCUUUUGGACUUAAUAUGCAUUAAUGCAAUUGUCCACCUCUUCUUUUAGACUAAGAGUUGAUCUCCACAUAUUCCCCUUGCAUCAGGGGCAUGUUAAUUAUGAAUGAACCCUUUUCUUUUAAUAUUAAUGUCAUAAUUGUAUUUGUGGACCUGUGUAGGAGAAAAAGACCCUAUGUUCCUCCCAUUACCCUUUGGAUUGCUGCUGAGAAGUGUUAACUACUCAUAAUCUCAGCUCUUGGACAAUUAAUAGCAUUAAUAACAAUUAUCAAGGGCACUGAUCAUUAGAUAAGACUCCUGCUUCCUCGUUGCUUACAUCGGGGGUACUGACCCACUAAGGCCCCUUGUACUGUUAAUGUGAAUAUUUGCAAUUAUAUAUGUCUCCUUCUGGUAGAGUGGGAUAUUAUGCCCUAGUAUCCCCUUUGCAUUACUGCAGGGGCUGCUGACUACUCAAAACUUCUCCUGGGACUGUUAAUAGGCACAAUGGCAGUUAUCAAUGGUUUUCUCCCUCCCUGACCUUGUUAAGCAAGCGCCCCACCCCACCCUUAGUUUCCCAUGGCAUAAUAAAGUAUAAGCAUUGGAGUAUUCCAUGCACUUGUCUAUCAAACAGUGGUCCAUACUCCCAACCCUUUUGCAUUGCGCCAGUGUGUAAAAUCACAGGUAGCCAUGGUGUCAUGCUUUAUAUACGAAGUCUUCCCUCUCUCUGCCCCUUGUGUGCCCUUGGCCCCUUUUUACAGACUAUUGCUCACAAUCUCAGGUGUCCAUAUUUGCAGCUAUUAGGUAAGAUUGUGCUGUCUCCCUCUUCCCUUCCCUCUGCCCUGCCCCUUUUGCCUCUUUGCUGGGUAAUGUUGACCAGACAAGGCCCUUUCUCUUGGACUUAAACAAUUCUCAGUUGCACUUUCCUUGGUCCCACCCAUUAUACAUGAACCCCUCUACUUCCUUUCGCAUUGCUUCUGAGUAUGCUGACUACCCAAAGCCCCUUCUGUGUUAUUAAUAAACACAGUACUGAUUGUCCCAUUUUUCAGCCCAUCAGUCCAAGAUCUCCCUACCACUUUGGUGUGUUGGUGCAGUGUUGACUAUGAAAAGCAGGCCUGAACUAGGUGGAUAAGCCUUCACUCAUUUUCUUUCAUUUAUUAAUGAUCCUAGUUUCAAUUAUUGUCAGAUUCUGGGGACAAGAACCAUUCUUGCCCACCUGUGUUACUGCUUUACUGUGCAAAAUACUGAAGGCAAGUCAGACCCAGGGAGCUGGAUUGCCAUCCUUUAUUUUGUGUUUCCAGUGUACACUAUAAAAUUGUCUCCCCAGGAAGGAAGGUUGGCACUUUCUCUGCAUUCUUCUUUCCAGAGCAGAUUGCCUGGUUAAGAAUCUCUUGUUGUCCCCUUUGUAUAUUGUUAUUGUAAAGUGCCAAAUGCCAGGAUACAGCCAGAAAAAUUGCUUAUUAUUAUUAAAAAAAUUUUUUUAAGAAAGACAUCUGGAUUGUAGGGUGGACUCGAUAACCUGGUCAUUAUUUUUUUGAAGCCAAAAUAUCCAUUUAUACUAUGUACCUGGUGACCAGUGUCUCUCAUUUUAACUGAGGGUGGUGGGUCUGUGGAUAGAACACUGACUCUUGCUAUUUUAAUAUCAAAGAUAUUCUAGAGUGGAACUCUUAAGACCAGUAUCUUUGUGUGGGCUUUACCAGCAUUCACUUUUAGAAAAACUACCUAAAUUUUAUAAUCCUUUAAUUUCUUCAUCUGGAGCACCUGCCCCUACUUAUUUCAAGAAGAUUGCAGUAAAACGAUUAAAUGAGGGAACAUAUGCAGAGGUGCUUUUAAAAAGCAUAUGCCACCUUUUUUAUUAAUUAUUAUAUAAAAUGAAGCAUUUAAUUAUAGUAAUAAUUUGAAGUAGUUUGAAGUACCACACUGAGGUGAGGACUUAAAAAUGAUAAGACGAGUUCCCUAUUUUAUAAGAAAAAUAAGCCAAAAUUAAAUAUUCUUUUGGAUAUAAAUUUCAACAGUGAGAUAGCUGCCUAGUGGAAAUGAAUAAUAUCCCAGCCACUAGUGUACAGGGUGUUUUGUGGCACAGGAUUAUGUAAUAUGGAACUGCUCAAGCAAAUAACUAGUCAUCACAACAGCAGUUCUUUGUAAUAACUGAAAAAGAAUAUUGUUUCUCGGAGAAGGAUGUCAAAAGAUCGGCCCAGCUCAGGGAGCAGUUUGCCCUACUAGCUCCUCGGACAGCUGUAAAGAAGAGUCUCUGGCUCUUUAGAAUACUGAUCCCAUUGAAGAUACCACGCUGCAUGUGUCCUUAGUAGUCAUGUCUCCUUAGGCUCCUCUUGAUCUUCCUCAGAAGAAUAGGCUUGUUGUUUUACAGUGUUAGUGAUCCAUUCCCUUUGACGAUCCCUAGGUGGAGAUGGGGCAUGAGGAUCCUCCAGGGGAAAAGCUCACUACCACUGGGCAACAACCCUAGGUCAGGAGGUUCUGUCAAGAUACUUUCCUGGUCCCAGAUAGGAAGAUAAAGUCUCAAAAACAACCACCACACGUCAAGCUCUUCAUUGUUCCUAUCUGCCAAAUCAUUAUACUUCCUACAAGCAGUGCAGAGAGCUGAGUCUUCAGCAGGUCCAAGAAAUUUGAACACACUGAAGGAAGUCAGCCUUCCCACCUGAAGAUCAACAUGCCUGGCACUCUAGCACUUGAGGAUAGCUGAAUGAAUGUGUCUUACCCAUUUCCAUGUUUCUCUUGCUAAUUUCUUUCGUGUGUGCCUUUGCCUCAUUUUCUCUUUUUGUUCACAAGAGUGGUCUGUGUCUUGUCUUAGACAUAUCUCUCAUUUUUCAUUUUGUUGCUAUUUCUCUUUGCUCUCCUAGAUGUGGCUCUUCUUUCACGCUUUAUUUCAUGUCUCCUUUUUGGGUCACAUGCUGUGUGCUUUUUGUCCUUUUCUUGUUCUGUCUACCUCUCCUUUCUCUGCCUACCUCUCUUUUCUCUUUGUGAACUGUGAUUAUUUGUUACCCCUUCCCCUUCUCGUUCGUUUUAAAUUUCACCUUUUUUCUGAGUCUGGCCUCCUUUCUGCUGUUUCUACUUUUUAUCUCACAUUUCUCAUUUCUGCAUUUCCUUUCUGCCUCUCUUGGGCUAUUCUCUCUCUCCUCCCCUGCGUGCCUCAGCAUCUCUUGCUGUUUGUGAUUUUCUAUUUCAGUAUUAAUCUCUGUUGGCUUGUAUUUGUUCUCUGCUUCUUCCCUUUCUACUCACCUUUGAGUAUUUCAGCCUCUUCAUGAAUCUAUCUCCCUCUCUUUGAUUUCAUGUAAUCUCUCCUUAAAUAUUUCUUUGCAUAUGUGGGCAAGUGUACGUGUGUGUGUGUCAUGUGUGGCAGAGGGGCUUCCUAACCCCUGCCUGAUAGGUGCAGAACGUCGGCUAUCAGAGCAAGCAUUGUGGAGCGGUUCCUUAUGCCAGGCUGCCAUGUGAGAUGAUCCAAGACCAAAACAAGGCCCUAGACUGCAGUAAAACCCAGAACUCAAGUAGGGCAGAAGGUGGAAGGCUCAUAUGGAUAGAAGGCCCAAAGUAUAAGACAGAUGGUUUGAGACUUGAGACCCGAGGACUAAGAUGGAAAGCCCAUGUUCCAAGAUAGAUAGAAGCCUCAGGCCUGAAACCAACAAAAGCCUCAAGAGCCAAGAAAACAGAGGGUGGCCUGAAUUGGACCGAAGGCCUGAGUUGGAUGGAAGUCUCAAGGCUUGAGUUAGAAGUCUUAAGACCUGGGACAGGACACAUGGAAGGCCUAAGAACUGAGACUUGUGACACAAGGCCAACGACCUAAGAUUAGCCCAGGGUUGUAGCUGGAAGACCUACAACCCAAGGAUGGAAGGCCCCUGUCACAAAGCCUACCUAGAUGGAUAGAGGACCCAAGCGAAAAAGGUAUCUCAAGACUAACGGCCGGAAUCUGGAGGCCCAUGACCCAGAACCCAGGAAGGAUAGAAGCUUGAAGACCUGGGGAAAUCCCAAGAUGAGAACCCUAAACCCUACCUCUUUUCUAUUGUUUACACUUCUUACUCUUAGAUAUUUCCAGUUCUCCUGUUUAUCUUUAAGCCUGAUUCUUUUGAGAUGUACUUUUUGAUGUUGCCGGUUACCUUUAGAUUGACAGUAUUAUGCCUGGGCCAGUCUUGAGCCAGCUUUAAAUCACAGCUUUUACCUAUUUGUUAGGCUAUAGUGUUUUGUAAACUUCUGUUUCUAUUCACAUCUUCUCCACUUGAGAGAGACACCAAAAUCCAGUCAGUAUCUAAUCUGGCUUUUGUUAACUUCCCUCAGGAGCAGACAUUCAUAUAGGUGAUACUGUAUUUCAGUCCUUUCUUUUGACCCCAGAAGCCCUAGACUGAGAAGAUAAAAUGGUCAGGUUGUUGGGGAAAAAAAAGUGCCAGGCUCUCUAGAGAAAAAUGUGAAGAGAUGCUCCAGGCCAAUGAGAAGAAUUAGACAAGAAAUACACAGAUGUGCCAGACUUCUGAGAAGCACCUGCCAGCAACAGCUUCCUUCUUUGAGCUUAGGUGAGCAGGAUUCUGGGGUUUGGGAUUUCUAGUGAUGGUUAUGGAAAGGGUGACUGUGCCUGGGACAAAGCGAGGUCCCAAGGGGACAGCCUGAACUCCCUGCUCAUAGUAGUGGCCAAAUAAUUUGGUGGACUGUGCCAACGCUACUCCUGGGUUUAAUACCCAUCUCUAGGCUUAAAGAUGAGAGAACCUGGGACUGUUGAGCAUGUUUAAUACUUUCCUUGAUUUUUUUCUUCCUGUUUAUGUGGGAAGUUGAUUUAAAUGACUGAUAAUGUGUAUGAAAGCACUGUAAAACAUAAGAGAAAAACCAAUUAGUGUAUUGGCAAUCAUGCAGUUAACAUUUGAAAGUGCAGUGUAAAUUGUGAAGCAUUAUGUAAAUCAGGGGUCCACAGUUUUUCUGUAAGGGGUCAAAUCAUAAAUACUUUAGACUGUGGGCCAUAUGGUUUCUGUUACAUAUUUGUUUUUUAAACAACGUUUUUAUAAGGUCAAAAUCAUUCUUAGUUUUUGAGCCAAUUGGAUUUGGCCUGCUGUUCAUAGCUUACCACCCCCUGAUGUAUUAUUUGUUAUUCAGAGAAAAUUUCUGAAUACUACUAGUUUCCUUUUCUGUGCCUGUCCCUGUGCUAGGCACUAAAAAUGCAAUGAUUAUUGAUAUCUAGGUGACCUGAAAAAAAAUAGUGAAUGUGCUUUGUAAACUGUAAAGCACUUGUAUUCUACUGUGAUAAGCGUUGUGGAUACAAAGAAAGGAGCAAGCAUAAAAAAGUGCUCUUUCAAAAGGAUAUAGUACUAUGCAGACACAAGGAAUUGUUUGAUAAAUGAAUAAAUUAUAUGUAUAUUUGAGGCCAAUUUGUGUUUGCUGCUCUGGUAAUUUUGAGUAAAAAUGCAGUAUUCCAGGUAUCAGAAACGAAAACACAUGGAAACUGCUUUUAAACUUUAAAAUAUACUGAAAACAUAAGGGACUAAGCUUGUUGUGGUCACCUAUAAUGUGCCAGAUACCAUGCUGGGUGCUAGAGCUACCAAAGGGGGAAAAGUAUUCUCAUAGAACAAAAAAUUUCAGAAAGGUGCAUAUUAAAGUGCUUUGUAAACUAAAGCAUGAUACAAAUGUCAAUGGGCUACAUAUUUAUGAAUGAAUGAAUGGAUGAAUGAAUAUUAAGUGCCUCUUACAUACCAGCUAUUUUGGGUACUGUAAAAUACAAGAUUAAUUCUCCUAUGUAAUAAGAGGAAAGUUUAUCCUCUAUACUAUUCAGAUGUAAGGAAUGAUAUAUUGCUUAAUUUUAAACAAUCAAGACUUUACUGGUGAGGUUAAGUUAAAUUAUUACUGAUACAUUUUUCCAGGUAACCAGGAAAGAGCUAGUAUGAGGAAAUGAAGUAAUAGAUGUGAGAUCCAGACCGAAAGUCACUUAAUUCAGCUUGCGAAUGUGCUUUCUAAAUUAUAAAGCACUUGUAAAUGAAAAAUUUGAUGCUUUCUGUAUGAAUAAAACUUUCUGUAAGCUAGGUAUUGUCUCUACAAAAUUCUCAUUGUAUAGUUAAACCACAGUGAGAAGGGUUCUAUAAGUAGUUAUACAAACCAAGGGUUUAAAUACCUGUUAAAUAGAUCAAUUUUGAUUGCCUACUAUGUGAACUCACUGUUAAAGGCACUGAAAAUUUAUCAUAUUUCAUUUAGCCACAGCCAAAAAUAAGGCAAUACCUAUGUUAGCAUUUUGUGAACUCUAAGGCACCAUAUAAAUGUAACUGUUGAUUUUCUCACUUGGUGCUGGGUACUAGGUUUAUAAAAUUGUAUGAUAGUUAUUAUAUUGUGCAAAUAAAGUAGGAAAAUUUGAAUAACAAUGAUUAUCUUUUGAAUACGCAUACGCAAGGGAUUGGUUGUCUGAAGAAUGCCACUAUAGUAGUUAUCUAUUGUGUGCCAAUCUCAUUGCUAGGCAUUGGGGAUGCAAAGAUAAACCAUCUUUAUUGUGUCUUGGGUAGCAGAAGAAAAUAUGUGUAAAAUCAAUUUAUAAUUUGUAAACUGCCACCCAUAUAUAAGCUAUAUCUGCUGAAUGAUCAUUGAUUACUCUUAUCCUUAGAGAUAACAACUGGGGGCACAAACAUUUAUUAUCAUUAUUGAACCUACAACAGAGAUCUAUGUGUAGAUUUACAAAGCCUACAGUUCUAUACAGAUAGGAAUGAACUAUUGGCUUACUGAAUGGUGAUUACUUUCUGUGGGGCUCGGAACUACAUGCCCUAGGAUAUAAAAAUGAUGUUAUCAUUAUAGAGUGCUCACAGAAGGAAAUGAAGUAAUAUAGGUGUGAGAUCCAGACCAAAAGUCAUUUAACAAGUUUAUUCAGUGAUGAAAACAUGGGACAAAUGGACUAAUAUAAGGCAGUGUACUAAGCUGAGUAGAGAGAUAAAGUCCUGUCCAGAAGAUACAUGCUUCCUGGCCUGAUUGAGGAGAUGGAAAAUUUUUGCAAAAAACAAGGUGUUGUGGUCUUCCAUCCAGUUUCUUAAGUGCUGAUGAUAAAAGUGAAUUAGACCCACCUUGACCUGGCCUACAGAAGUAAAGGAGUAAAAAUAAAUGCCUCAGGCGUGCUUUUUGAUUCAUUUGAUAAACAAAGCAUCUUUUAUGUGGAAUAUACCAUUCUGGGUCCUGAGGAUAAGAGAGAUGAGGGCAUUAGAUCACUGACAGCUGAAGAUAGAAGAACAUCUUUGGUUUGAUUGUUUAAAUAAUAUUUCAAUGCCUAUUCUCUGCAAGGUACUAUGUUUCGUAAAUUAAAUAGGUCUGGCCCAGAAGACCCACUCAAUUGCCUUUGAGAUUAAAAAAAAAAAAAAAAAGAAAGAAAAAUGCAAGUUUCUUUCAAAAUAAAGAGACAUUUUUCCUAGUUUCAGGAAUCCCCCAAAUCACUUCCUCAUUGGCUUAGUUUAAAGCCAGGAGACUGAUAAAAGGGCUCAGGGUUUGUUCUUUAAUUCAUUAACUAAACAUUCUGCUUUUAUUACAGUUAAAUGGUUCAAGAUGUAACAACUAGUUUUAAAGGUAUUUGCUCAUUGGUCUGGCUUAGAGACAGGAAGACAUAUGAGCAAUAAAAAAAAGAUUCUUUUGCAUUUACCAAUUUAGUAAAAAUUUAUUAAAACUGAAUAAAGUGCUGUUCUUAAGUGCUUGAAAGACGUAAACCAAAGUGCACUUUAUCUCAUUUAUCUUAUGGUGGAAACACAGGAACAAAUUCUCUAAGAGACUGUGUUUCUUUAGUUGAGAAGAAACUUCAUUGAGUAGCUGUGAUAUGUUCGAUACUAAGGAAAAACUAAACAGAUCACCUUUGACAUGCGUUGUAGAGUGGGAAUAAGAGAGGGCUUUUUAUUUUUUCGUUCAUACGAGUAUUGAUGAAGAUGAUACUAAAUGCUAAAUGAAAUAUAUCUGCUCCAAAAGGCAUUUAUUCUGACUUGGAGAUGCAACAAAAACACAAAAAUGGAAUGAAGUGAUACUCUUCAUCAAACAGAAGUGACUGUUAUCUCAACCAUUUUGUUAAAUCCUAAACAGAAAACAAAAAAAAUCAUGACGAAAAGACACUUGCUUAUUAAUUGGCUUGGAAAGUAGAAUAUAGGAGAAAGGUUACUGUUUAUUUUUUUUCAUGUAUUCAUUCAUUCUACAAAUAUAUUCGGGUGCCAAUAGGUACUUGGUAUAAGGUUUUUGGCCCCAGAGACAUGGGAAAAAAAUGCAUGCCUUCCCAGAGAAUGCCUAAUACUUUCCUUUUGGCUUGUUUUCUUGUUAGGGGCAUGGCUUAGUCCCUAAAUAACAUUGUGUGGUUUAAUUCCUACUCCGUAUCUCUUCUACCACUCUGGCCACUACGAUAAGCAGGUAGCUGGGUUUUGUAGUGAGCUUGCUCCUUAAGUUACAGGAACUCUCCUUAUAAUAGACACUUCAUUUUCCUAGUCCAUCCCUCAUGAAAAAUGACUGACCACUGCUGGGCAGCAGGAGGGAUGAUGACCAACUAAUUCCCAAACCCCAGUCUCAUUGGUACCAGCCUUGGGGAACCACCUACACUUGAGCCACAAUUGGUUUUGAAGUGCAUUUACAAGGUUUGUCUAUUUUCAGUUCUUUACUUUUUACAUGCUGACACAUACAUACACUGCCUAAAUAGAUCUCUUUCAGAAACAAUCCUCAGAUAACGCAUAGCAAAAUGGAGAUGGAGACAUGAUUUCUCAUGCAACAGCUUCUCUAAUUAUACCUUAGAAAUGUUCUCCUUUUUAUCAUCAAAUCUGCUCAAGAAGGGCUUUUUAUAGUAGAAUAAUAUCAGUGGAUGAAAACAGCUUAACAUUUUACCAUGCUUAAGUUUUAAGAAUAAAAUAAAAAUUGGAAAUAAUUGGCCAAAAUUGAAAGGAAAAAUUUUUUUAAAAUUUCUCUAAAUGUAGGCCUGGCUGGGCUUUGACCUUUUCCGUUUUUAAAUCACUCACAGAGGGUGGGACAGGAGGAAGAGUGAAGGAAAAGGUCAAACCUGUUUUAAGGGCAACCUGCCUUUGUUCUGAAUUGGUCUUAAGAACAUUACCAGCUCCAGGUUUAAAUUGUUCAGUUUCAUGCAGUUCCAAUAGCUGAUCAUUGUUGAGAUGAGGACAAAAUCCUUUGUCCUCACUAGUUUGCUUUACAUUUUUGAAAAGUAUUAUUUUUGUCCAAGUGCUUAUCAACUAAACCUUGUGUUAGGUAAGAAUGGAAUUUAUUAAGUGAAUCAGUGUGACCCUUCUUGUCAUAAGAUUAUCUUAAAGCUGAAGCCAAAAUAUGCUUCAAAAGAAGAGGACUUUAUUGUUCAUUGUAGUUCAUACAUUCAAAGCAUCUGAACUGUAGUUUCUAUAGCAAGCCAAUUACAUCCAUAAGUGGAGAAGGAAAUAGAUAAAUGUCAAAGUAUGAUUGGUGGAGGGAGCAAGGUUGAAGAUAAUCUGGGGUUGAAAUUUUCUAGUUUUCAUUCUGUACAUUUUUAGUUAGACAUCAGAUUUGAAAUAUUAAUGUUUACCUUUCAAUGUGUGGUAUCAGCUGGACUCAGUAACACCCCUUUCUUCAGCUGGGGAUGGGGAAUGGAUUAUUGGAAAAUGGAAAGAAGAAAGUAACUAAAAGCCUUCCUUUCACAGUUUCUGGCAUCACUACCACUACUGAUUAAACAAGAAUAAGAGAACAUUUUAUCAUCAUCUGCUUUAUUCACAUAAAUGAAGUUGUGAUGAAUAAAUCUGCUUUUAUGCAGACACAAGGAAUUAAGUGGCUUCGUCAUUGUCCUUCUACCUCAAAGAUAAUUUAUUCCAAAAGCUAAGAUAAAUGGAAGACUCUUGAACUUGUGAACUGAUGUGAAAUGCAGAAUCUCUUUUGAGUCUUUGCUGUUUGGAAGAUUGAAAAAUAUUGUUCAGCAUGGGUGACCACCAGAAAGUAAUCUUAAGCCAUCUAGAUGUCACAAUUGAAACAAACUGGGGAGUUGGUUGCUAUUGUAAAAUAAAAUAUACUGUUUUGAAAACUUUGU
rnacentral:lncRNA from 1 species